ACGCCUUUCUGACUGCUUGGGGGACGAUGUGAGUAUGCCUCUCUGACUGCUUGGGGGACGAUGGGAGUAUGCCUCACUAAAUGCUUGGAGGACGAUGGUAGUAUGCCUCACUGACUGCGUGAAGGACGAUGGGAGUAUGCCUCACUGACUGCUUGGAGGACAAUGGGAAUACAGUACCCCUUGCAUGGGGAUUGUCAUAUAAGGCCAUUAAAAUCUAUUCCAGCUUACACUCCAAAACUGUGUGUCGUCCUGUUAUUGGAGGGAAAGAAUAUUUACUCCUGUGUCUGCUGU